AAAGAACUAAUUAAUUAAUAAAGUUAUUGUGGCAAAACUAUUUUAAAUAAUUAAUUUGAAAUGAAAUGUUAUUCGUUUUUAAAUAUAUCUAGUUUUUUCAGAAAAAAAUUUAAUUUUAAAUUUUUUUUUAUAAGUAAAAUUAAUUAAUUAAUUUUAUUUAAGAAGAAUUUUAUAUUUUAAGGGAUAAGCUUUAAAUUAAAAAUUUAUAAUGAUUCUUUUUUUUUUUAUUGAAAAUUUUAUAAUUUAUAUUGUUAAUAAAAUUUAAUUUAUUAUAAAUAAUUUCAUUUUUAAAAGAUUUAAUUUUAAUUUAAUUUUUUAUGAAAAAAAAAUUUUUAAUAAAUAAAAAUUAGUUAUAAUGAUAAAAUUAGUAUAUUUAUUUUUAAAGUUUAUUUAUUAAUUAAAUUAAUUAAUAAAAAGGAAUUCGGCAAAUAAUUAUAUUCACUUGUUUAACAAAAACAUGUCUUUUUGUUAUUAAUUUAAAGUCUAAUCUGCCCACUGAUUUAAUUAUUAAAGGGCUGCAGUAUAUUGACUGUACAAAGGUAGCAUAAUCAUUAGUCAUUUAAUUGAUGACUUGUAUGAAGGAUUGGAUGAGAUAUAAGCUGUCUCUUUAUUAAUUUAUAUAAUUUAAUUUUUUAAUUAAAAAGUUAAAAUAUUUUAAAAAGACGAGAAGACCCUAUAGAGUUUUAUAAAUAGUUUUAUUUAAAAUUAUUUAUAAAUAUUAAAAUAAAAAUAAAAUUAUUUAUUUUGUUGGGGUGACAAAAAAAUAUAAUAAACUUUUUAUAAAAAAAUCAUAAAUAAGUGAGUAUAUGAUCCAAUAUUAUUGAUUAUAAGAAAAAAUUACCUUAGGGAUAACAGCGUAAUUUUUUUUUUUAGUUCAAAUAAGAAAAAGAGUUUGCGACCUCGAUGUUGGAUUAAGAUAAAAUUUAGAUGCAAAAGUUUAAAAUUUUG
rnacentral:rRNA from 1 species